CCUACGGGAGGCAGCAGUCGAGAAUCUUCGGCAAUGGGCGCAAGCCUGACCGAGCGACGCCGCGUGUGUGAUGAAGGCCUUCGGGUUGUAAACCACUGUCGGAGGGGAGGAAAUACAUAUGGGUUCUCUCAUAUGCUUGACCUAUCCUCGGAGGAAGGACCGGCUAAGUUUAUGCC
rnacentral:rRNA from 1 species